UUCUGCCAGACACAAAAACCAGAACCAGCCAUUCCCUUUGUUUCUGCUAGUUCUGCUUCAAUGAGGUACGCAGUUGGCCAAACUCUUCAAAGAACUACGAGAGAUCAUGGACAAAUUCUCAACGGCGUUGAUUGCCUUACUUGCGGCCAAGAACGCCAUAGGCACAGAAGCGAACCCUCUGCUCAAAAACGAGCACGUUAAACUUAUGAUGAUGUUUCUGGUUUUGAUCAUUGUUCUUUACCACCUAACGUUGGUGAUCAGAACAGUUCUUGUUCAGCUACCUCCCCAGAACACUCGCCUUCCUCACAUUCUAACACUCAUCAUCAUAGCUUUGCUCGGAGGUUCUGCAUCAGUUUUAGCUUUGGUCAUCAUUUGAAAGCUCCCUAUCGGCCAUUUCCUUUCGUCAACGUGGGCUUUGUGGCUUUCUAUUCACUGUUGUCGUUGUUGUUGUUCAUUGACUCUAAUUUGGUACCGUCUUUUCUUGGGCUUUUCCAUGUCACUGGAACAAGUUUGUGUGUCUUGAUCGAUUGGGAUGAUUAAAAGCUUAUACGCAUUUUAAUAUUUUAUAUCUCUUAUUACUUUUGAAUGUGGGAUUUGUAUUCUCCAA